AGUGAACGCUGGCGGUAGGCCUAACACAUGCAAGUCGAACGGCAGCACAGUAAGAGCUUGCUCUUACGGGUGGCGAGUGGCGGACGGGUGAGGAAUACAUCGGAAUCUACUUUUUCGUGGGGGAUAACGUAGGGAAACUUACGCGAAUACCGCAUACGACCUACGGGUGAAAGCAGGGGAUCUUCGGACCUUGCGCGAUUGAAUGAGCCGAUGUCGGAUUAGCUAGUUGGCGGGGUAAAGGCCCACCAAGGCGACGAUCCGUAGCUGGUCUGAGAGGAUGCUCAGCCACACUGGAACUGAGACACGGUCCAGACUCCACGGGAGGCAGCAGUGGGGAAUAUUGGACAAUGGGCGCAAGCCUGAUCCAGCCAUACCGCGUGGGUGAAGAAGGCCUUCGGGUUGUAAAGCCCUUUUGUUGGGAAAGAAAAGCAGCAGGUUAAUACCCCGCUGUUCUGACGGUACCCAAAGAAUAAGCACCGGCUAACUUCGUG
rnacentral:rRNA from 1 species